AUGAUGUGGAUUAAUUCGAUGCAACGCGAAAACCUUACCUACCCUUGACAUCUCGGGAAUCAUUUGGAAACAUAUGAGUGCCUCGCAAGAGGAGCCCGAUGACAGGUGCUGCAUGGCUGUCGUCAGCUCGUGUCGUGAGAUGUUGGGUUAAGUCCCGCAACGAGCGCAACCCUUGUCUUUAGUUGCCAUCAUUAAGUUGGGCACUCUAAAGAGACUGCCGGUGUCAAACCGGAGGAAGUGGGAUGACGUCAAGUCCUCAUGGCCUUUAUGACCAGGGCUACACACGUACUACAAUGGCAGGUACAAAGGGCAGCCACUUAGCGAUAAGGCGCGAAUCCCAUAAAACCUGUCUCAGUCCGGAUUGGAGUCUGCAACUCGACUCCAUGAAGUUGGAAUCGCUAGUAAUCGCAGAUCAGCACGCUGCGGUGAAUACGUUCCCGGGCCUU
rnacentral:rRNA from 1 species